rnacentral:rRNA from 1 species
UACAGAGGGUGCGAGCGUUAUUCGGAAUUACUGGGCGUAAAGCGCGCGUAGGCGGUUUUGCAAGUCGGGUGUGAAAUCCCCAGGCUUAACCUGGGAACUGCAUUCGAGACUGCAUUACUAGAGUAUGGGAGAGGGAAGUGGAAUUUCCGGUGUAGCGGUGAAAUGCGCAGAUAUCAGGAGGAACACCGGUGGCGAAGGCGCCACUCUGGGCCGGCACUGACGCUGAGGAGCGAAAGCGUGGGUAGCAAACAGG